CUGGAAUAAGAAACCCGAAGUAGAUGAAGAGCUGCCUUAUGAGGUGAUGGAACUAUUAGCCAAGUCUUUGAGCUUCAUAUGCUACUGUAGCUACUCUGUUAUGUGAACAUUGGGAAGUUCUUUGGGUUGAAAUGGAGCUUGGGUGGUUGAGCAAGGGCCUUGAAUGGUACUAUUAGCAAGAAUACAUUCACUGUAAAUCCGG
rnacentral:misc_RNA from 1 species